GGCAAUAUUGGUCAAAUUAACUGUGACAUUGGUAACUAUUAAACAAACAAAUUGGUUAUCUAACAACUAAUAUCAUUGGUUAAGAACAAAUUGGUUGAUUUAACAAAGAUAUUGGUUAACUUUAAUAACAGAUUGGUUGAAAAAUGACUAAUAUCAUUGGUUAAGCAAAUGUUAACUAAGAGAUUGGUAACUGACGCAGGUCUGACGCUCAACGUCAAGUACGUAACUCUGCUUCUCAAUUUUCUGACAAAGCCGCCAUCUUGGUGCUGCAGGAAAGCCGUUUGAGAUAUUGGUGAAAUUCAAACACUUUGUGAGAUGACAGAAUAUUGCUGAAGGAUCCUACAUGGAAGCUGGCUGAUUACACGGAGUGAUUCCUCUGGUGUGGUGUACCUCAGAGAAAUAAACACUGUUGCAAGAGCUGAGAAGAUGGUCAAGAUAUCCUUAUUGCUGGAUGGUAGCUCUCUGGUCGUAGUGGACCAUAUCUGCAAAUGCUUCUGAACAUUGACAGAAUUUCUAAAGAUGACUGAGAAUAUUACUGAAGGAUCCUACAUGGAAGCUGUCUGAUUACACUGAGUGAUUCCUCUGGUGUGGUGUACCUCAGAGAAAAUAAACACUGUUGCAAGAGCUGAGAAGAUAUCCUUAUUGCUGGAUGGUUGCUCUCUGGUCGUACUUGAGCCCCCUGGACCAUGUCUGCAAAUGCUUCUGAACAUUGACAGAAUUUCUAAAGGAUCGCUGAGGACUCCCCCUCCAUGCGUGACAUCUUUAAGAAAUUUCCACGCUUUCUGGAGAUGCCAAGUUUGGUACGUCUGCCAGACAUUUUUUUAACCUUUAUUUAGAAAGAACAAGUCACGAUAUAGUUGUGUGCAUUGUUGAUUUUGGCUAUACUUGGUGUUAAUUAAGCUUCCUGAUACUGCAUGAUUUAUACCGUUCACUCAGUAGAGUAAAGCUUUCUAUAUAACCUGUUAAAACAGGGCGUUAUAAAUUUUGUGGUUACCAGAAUGGCAAUUACUGAGUCGCAGUGCAUUACUAAAGGCCCUAUGUUAUGUCAUAGUAGAGCAGUACUGGCAAUUAACCUUUCAAUGACUAUUACAGCAUGUUUCAGAUGGUAUGGCGUGCAUUAUGGGGCUAAGCACCAUUGAUGUAUCUCUCUCUCUCUCUUUCUCUCUCUCUCUCAAAUCUUAAAAAUUCUUUCAGACUGGAACCAACUUUGCAUCCCUCGGCACUGACACUGAGAAGGUUUCAAGGACCCCACUACUAGGAGGCGAGAGUUUGACACGGCAGUGUCAUCACUGCCAUGGAUGACAACGUAACCAUUCCUGUUGCUGAUUGCCUGACUUGCGCAGUGACAAGCUUUCCAUGCUCUACUGGGUGUGUAACUUGGCAUAUCCACCACAGUUUAACUCUGUUUUUGCCUCUUUUGAAUAUGUGUACGAUAUAACCAUCUCAACCAACAAGUGGGCCAAGGUACUGGAACAUUUCUCACUUCAAGUUGCUCUGUAGUCACUGGACAUUUUUUUAAACAUCUACGCAGACACCACCACUCCACACCAUGUGUAUUUUAAUUACUUCUGAUUCCACUGACAUGCAGACUACAUCCUAUGCAAAUUCAGGUAAUUUACCUGGUACUGGAGAAACAGCAUUGUAUGCCAUUCUAAGUGAUACUUGCCUCCUUGUUUUGCAAAAAUGUACUGUUCUUUGAAUAUAACUUAAAGUAAGAUCAUGUUGACUCUAAGGUUUUCUCCGGUUGUCAAGCACAACCUUAACGUUUUGUAAGUAAGUAAUAGUCACAGGAUAUGCAUGCAUUUGUAAUUUGAAUUUUCGUCAAACGGCUCACCAAGCAUAAAAUGUUACCUCUGCUUUUGAUUUUUCUUUUUUUUUAAAUGUCCCUUAAUACCAGCCUGUCUUUUUGUUGUGUCCACACAACUUUACUAUCAUCAGUGUUGGGAAGGAACAGAUUGCUGUAAGUUACUGUAUCCCCAUCCUUUCAGAUCAGUGCUUUAAAGCCUUUUGAAAUUAAAUUGUUAAUAAACUUUGUGAAAACAAA